rnacentral:lncRNA from 1 species
AGUGAAAAUAAGCUCCAGUCCGGCUCGGCCAUGAGCAGUCGCAUCUGGCAAACAUAAACUCCAUACUAGCUAUAUGCGUCUAUAUAUAUUAUUUCAUGAGAUGCUUUCCAUUGUAAGCAACAUAUGCAUUGUCAUACUUGAGUAGUAUUCUCCGCAUAACCAGUAUAUCGAUCAUCCUCUCUUUGUUCUCAUGCUAACUUGAGAGCUUUAUUUUCUUUUUCUUUUUGGCAUGAAUGUAUGGAUGUGGUAGAUUGUUUAACAUUAAUAUGAAUAAAUCUUAAGAACGUACCAAUUCAAUUUCUUGUUAAACAAGGAUUCUAGGAAUUUGCAUUAUCUGCUAAAAUGAAAAAUGCAGAUCGAUAUAUGUAGCUCUAGAUCUCGAUCGAGCAACUCCACCACAUGUUAUUGUCUCUCUAGAUCUAAGACAGUACGAAUAUUGGUCAGAAUUGCAUGCUCCUCUUAUUCUAGUUUUUCUUCUCCUUUUCUCCCUGAAAUAAAAUAUACUUGAGCAAUGAGAUAAAAGAUAUAUAUAAUCAUGCUAACUAGCUAGUUAGAUAUAUAUGGGAAAAUGUCAUGAUGUCCAGAUAUUUGAAAACUAAAGCCUAUUUCAAUUAAAAUCUUAUUUAUGUGUCCAUUCUAAUGAUUCUUAAGAAAAACACGUUAUUACCUAUGUAACUAAACCACACAAAUCUUAUCUCUUUCUCCUCCUCCUCCUCUUAUUCCCGAUCUAGUUUUCCUCUCUCUCUCUCUCCUCGUUUUCCUCUGAGAAUUCACCACCAUGCUUCUCAAAGAUUCUCCGGCCUCGUCUCAGUUGCUCACUAGCAACGAGAGCCUGCUGGCUCAUCCAUUCUCCUCUCCUCCUCGGUUUCCUACUUCACCGCUCCUCUGAACUCGUCGACAUAAAAAUUACGGCAAUUUGGAACGAAACAGCGACAAUCUGGAGGUCGAGGGAGGCCUUGAGGUGGAGGCGAGCGCCGGAUGCGCAUCAGUUGAGGAAGCCGGGGCCGACAGGGAGGCCGGCGGAAAGGACGACUUUGAGGUCGGGAGGGAAUGCGAAGCAGAACUGGAUCUCAACGCGGCGAUCUAGAGGUCAAGGGAGGCCUUGAGGUGGAGGCGAGCGCUAGAUGCAUGCCAAUCAGGGAAGCCGGGGCCGAUGGGGAGGCCAGCGGAGAGGACGGCUUUGAGGUCGGGAAGGAAUGUGAAGCCGAACUCGGUCUCGACGCGGGCGAAUUCAGGUUCGGAUAGACCCGGAUGGACUUGGAUAUGAGAGGAGGCCGUUGCAUACAGGGAGGGAGGGUUUGGUGGUGGAGGGGGUAGAUGGUGCGGCGGCGAAGGCCGGUGACGUGGGCCGGGUUGAGACCGGUCAUUCUCCUAUCUACGUCGACCAUUGUGUGGGAGUGAAGUGGAAAAUGGGAAAAAUGUGAUACUAUGUAAGGGUAAAUAAAAAAUUACUGAAGGUCAGUAACAAAGUUAUUAGGGUCAGUAACCCGAUUAUUGGGGCUCAGUAACUGAUUAUUGGGGGUCAGUAACCAAGUUAUUAGGGUCAGUACCAGAUUAUUGGGGGUCAGUAACUGAUUAUUGGGAGUUAGUAACCAAGUUAUUAGGGUCAGUAACCCGAUUAUUGGGGGUCAGUAACCAAGUUAUUGUGGGUCAGUACCCGAUUAUUGGGGGUCAGUAACUGAUUAUUGGGGGUCAGUAACCAAGUUGUUAGGGGUCAGUAACCGAGCCACCGGUGGUCGAAAUCUGACGGCCGAUGAGAUUCCGGCCAAGUAUUCUCUUUUUUAUAUUCUCUCUCUAUGCAUGUUUAAGAGGUGAGGGUAAAAUAGUCUUAAAAUAAUAUGGUUUGUUAAGACUUUAGUAAAGAUUUGUGCAUUUGGGCAUAAAGAUUUGUGCAUUUGGGCAUAAAAAAUGUUACCUUAUAUUGAAAUGGGCUAAUGAAAAAGAUUAUAUUGGAAUAGGGAAUGAGGGGUUUAAAUUAGUAUUAAAUGGACAUUUUCUCUAUAUAUAAUCAUACAGCUAGCUGUUAAUAAAAUUGGAAUCCAUGACUCCAUAAGGUUGCAUGAAAUUACUGGGACAUCUAAUGCAUCAUUGAAACAUCAUACUCGAUCGGCUUAAUGAUACAAAUUAGUGGACUACGUAGUCUAACUAAUUCGAGUAAUGUAGACUGUUAUUGAAGGAAAUGGCUUUUCUUUCCAAAUUAGAACGAUCAAUGGUCCAUCGUACUUUUGAGGCAUGGGGGUUUUGUUGCGCGAUGAUCCAGAAAAAGGAAAAUUAGUACAUGCAUGGUGUUGUCGAUCUGUGAUGCACACCAGACACAAACGUUUUCAUUCGGUCAUCAUAGAAUCAUGCUGCGGUGAGCUUGCACAGUGAGACCUGAAUUCUGACUCCCCAAGUACGUGGUCAUGAUAUCUUUCCAGUAAUACUGAAUGUAUCGAUGGAUAGAAGGACCAUCCUUUACAGAUGGGAAGAAUAGAUAUCAAAAUGAGAUGUGCAUAUAUAUCCCCAAUGUAAAUCUAAUCCGUGAUUUAGAUCUAAAUAUAUAGACCGAUUUUGUUCGAGUUUUAUGGCUCAUGCAUGCAAUCUAAGAAUUUGUACAUAUAUAUAACAAGGGUAGUGCUAGCUAGAGGGCCUUCAUACUGAGAAAUUUUUUAAUACUCCCGAAGGACCACGUGGCAGUCUGACGUGGUCCUCUCUUCCCAAUUAAAUUUUGACACGUGGAUUUAUUACAACUAAAAUAUAAACUAGGGUUUUCAAUAUUUUGUGAAAUGACAGUCAUGGGUCUUUUAUGAGUUUGGCCUAGGGUUUAGGGUAUAAGAUUUAAGGGUUAGGGUAUAGGGUAUAUGAUUAGGGUAUAGGGUUUAGAAAAUAAAAAAGAAACCUAAAAUUGUCUUUGACAAAAUUGCUAAAAUAGUUUUUUAUCAUGAAAAUCCAUAUGUCAAAAUUUAAAUGGAAUGAAGAACCACGUCAAACUGCCACGUAGUCUUUCAGGAGCACUAAAAAAUUUCUCACACUUGAGCUGCUAGUAAACUUGCGCAACAAGUAACUCCUUGUUUGGGCGGCGAGUUGUCAUUAAUACAGCUGCUUUUAGAUUUCUAUUUACUCGUACACUUAUGAAGACAACUCUCGCUGCAGUUAAGACAGUUAAUCAUAGAACAUUUAUAAUUGUUAAUCACUACUACAACUAUUACCGUACUGAUGGACGUGCUCAUGUGGCUUUAUUUUCUAAAUUUACCGUCGUAUUAAGACCGAAAUAAUGAUCUUCAUUACGGUAUAUAGAAUAAUUAACCACCCUCAGUCGUCCCUCACAGCGGUGUAAACACAGAUCUGGAUAGAUUCUGGAUUUUCUCGUCUUUACAUAGUGGUACACAAGAUAUGCUACUUCAACAGUAGCAACCGGAAAAGAAUAGUUCAUUUUACUUAGGGUUCCUAUAGGCUCAUCUAAGCAAACCUACCAUACACCUAUCAUCUAUAUCAUAUGAUAAUAAAACUAGCACAAGCAAAUUCCUCGAAGAAGCAAGGCAGUAUAUAUUGGAGCUAGUAAUCAAUCAAACCCAUCAGCCUUUGUUGAAACAAACAGAGAAUGCUUCUGAUGUCUGCACCAUUUUUGUUGGGGAUCGAAAUGAGUAGUUGUUUGAUAUCAAAUUAUCAAUGAGUAAAAGUAAAACCACAAUGUAUUAUAUAAUGAGGGUCAUUUUCAAUAUCA